rnacentral:lncRNA from 1 species
GGGGCUCCUGGCUGUGGGUGUGGUACCGAGGCUUCAGCGGGUGCCGCCCGCCUAGAGGGAGUGGAGCGGUGAGCACGUCAGGGGUGGGGGGCGCAGGUCAAGCUUUCACCAGUUUUUAAUUCUUUGAUGGGGUAAAUUUGAGCAAUUUUCUCGACUUGUCGACAUUCGUUAUUAACUGAGCAGGAAUCAGGAGAGGAACCCGGUCCUCUCCACACAGCCCAGCAGAGAGCCUACGACUAGAUUUGCAUCUUUACGUCCUGCGCGGAGGCUGCUACACACAUGCAGAAGUCAUGCUGGUGGCCUGGACAGUGAAGGGAGAGAAGUGGAUUUGGGAGACAUUUAGGAGGAACAGUAAGAGGACCUUGUGCAUGAAUAAUUUGUUUCCACACUACAGACAGAAGAAUCCCAGACUUCUUAGAGAACCCAGUGACUUUUUGCACCUUAAAUCUGUGAAAUCCUCAUGUUUUCUUCUGCCGUAUCCAUAGUUCAAACAAAGAUGAGGCAAAGCUAGAUGCAUUCCUGAAGGAACCCAAGAAAUUCCUCUCUUUAUUUCUCUGGAAUGAAAUGAAUUCUCUAGACCACCAGUUCUAACCUUCAAAAACCAAACCUGUUUGUGAGAUCUCCUUCAAAUACUACUGUAGACCCCAGUGUUUAUUCAUUAAAUUUUUAAAAUAUUUGUUUUAUUUGGAAUCCAUGUAUUUGUAAUUUUAGUGUUUGUAUUAAUAUAAGGGAGAAAUGUUUAAAUCUGUCUAUGCCAUAUGUGCCUCUGGCUUAUUGCCCAAUUAAUUGUAGACUCAGGCUAAACUUUGGUUUCUGUCUUUAAUUUUUGUCAGAAGAAAUAUAACUGAUCUCAAAAC